AACGUAGGGGGCGAGCGUUAUCCGGAAUUACUGGGCGUAAAGCGCGUGCAGGCGGCUUGGUAGGUUGGACGUGAAAGCUCCUGGCUUAACUGGGAGAGGCCGUUCAAAACCGCCAGGCUUGAGGACGGAAGAGGGGAGUGGAAUUCCCGGUGUAGUGGUGGAAUGCGUAGAUAUCGGGAGGAACACCUGUGGCGAAAGCGGCUCCCUAGUCCGUAUCUGACGCUCAGACGCGAAAGCGUGGGGAGCAAACGGG
rnacentral:rRNA from 1 species